rnacentral:rRNA from 1 species
UACGUAGGUGGCAAGCGUUGUCCGGAUUUAUUGGGUUUAAAGGGUGCGUAGGCGGCCUAUUAAGUCAGUUCUGAAAUAUCCCGGCUUAACCGGGAGGGUGGGAUUGAUACUGAUGGGCUUGAGUGGACUCGAGGUAGGCGGAAUUGACGGUGUAGCGGUGAAAUGCUUAGAUAUCGUCAAGAACACCGAUAGUGUAGACAGCUUGCCAGGGUGCAACUGACGCUGAGGCACGAAAGUGUGGGGAUCAAACAGGAUUAGAAACCCCUGUAGUCC